CUUAGAUGGACGUCUGGAUGGUGUAAAAUGGAAUGGAAUGAAGUGAAAUGAACGAGGGAACAAACAUUACAAACAAUGAAUGAAAAGCAAGCUCACAUGACAACGCGCCAUAAUUAAGAACAAUGCCAACUUAUUCAACGCCAGACCAUGCGAGAUGUACCAGGGUUUAUCCGCCACUUGACACUUGAUGGAUUCCAUUUCCGUGACAUGCCAUCGCAAGAAACUGGUCGGUAC
rnacentral:lncRNA from 1 species